rnacentral:rRNA from 1 species
UACGUAGGGCGCAAGCGUUAUCCGGAAUUAUUGGGCGUAAAGAGCUCGUAGGCGGUUUGUCGCGUCUGCCGUGAAAGUCCGGGGCUCAACUCCGGAUCUGCGGUGGGUACGGGCAGACUAGAGUGAUGUAGGGGAGAUGGAAUUCCUGGUGUAGCGGUGAAAUGCGCAGAUAUCAGGAGGAACACCGAUGGCGAAGGCAGGAUCUCUGGGC